CUCUAUCAACAACGUCUUCUCUUCCAACUUCGAGGGCGACUCCUCCGAAGCUCUCAAUCAAUCAGACAUAAAACUAUGUCGCUCCCUAACCUACAAACAAAUAUCCUUUUUCUCUCUUUUCCUCUCUCCCCACCCCCACCCAGUACCUCCUCCUUAACCGAGCCAACUCACAGAAUCAUAGGAUUCAUCGCCUCCUUCUUUCUCGGCUGGACUUUAACUCUCCUUUCCUUCUUCUUCAUAGCCGCGAGCAUCGGCACCUUCGCGUUCUUCUACUCCGUUGGUAACAUCAUGGGGUUGCUCUCCACCCUCUUCCUCAUGGGACCGAAAAAACAACUAAAAUCCAUGUUCGAUAAAAAAAGAAUCGUCACUACCAUCAUCUUUCUCGUCUCUAUCGCCCUCACCAUCUACGUCGCCGUCGCCGUCGGCGGAAUAGGACAAGUCCUCCUCAUUAUCCUCCUCUUCUUCAUGCAGUUCCUGGCGCUUCUAUGGUAUUGUCUGAGCUAUAUCCCGUUCGCCAGAAGGGCCGUCACCAAAUGCUGUAAAAGCACCUUCUUCAAAGUUCGCGAUCGAUUUCGAUAAAUAAAA